CCACCUCCACUACCAUCUGUCGAGUAGACCUUGAUACCAUCCCACAUUUCAGGAACAUGUUUUCUUUAUUUUUACUUUUCAUUUCCUUAUUUCUGUGGGACUGCAUGCAUACAUUUAGGACAAUAUAUGUGCUGGGUGUGGGGGAGGUAUGUUGUGCUUCUGCUUGUGAGGUUAUUGAUUUUUUGGGAGGUGGUUGGAUAGUCAUUUUAGAAUGAUUCUUUCAAAAUUGGUUGUGUUGUUGAAAAUCUGAAUGUUGAAAUUUGAAUUGAUGUGUUGGAAUAUGGAUGUGUGGGGAUUGAAAAUGUUUAAUUGGGGAUUGACAAUUUUGAUUUGAACACGGAAACUUGUGAAAGAAGUUCGUGUGUCUUGAGAAAAAUAUGUGAAUUAUCCAGCAGUCGCUGUUCAAUUUUCAAAUUGUUGUCUUGUGAUAUCCCGUACAUUAAUAGAAUUUUUUGGUAUAAGUAGAGGUAAGUAGGAGAAACUAGCACUAGUGGCAUAUUAAAAAAAAUGUGUGAAGUGUGUUCCAUUGACUGCAUCAAAUAAACGAUGUUCAAGAAUCAACACAAAAGCCCUUUGUGUGAGCUUUUGAACCAAAGCACUACCAUUUAAACAGUGCUUCUACAUUUCUUUUGAUUGAGGGCAUCAAACUUAGUAUGUUCAUUCUAGAACUUGCUUGUGUAAUACAUUUUGAGACCACAAUCUUCUAAGAUUGGUGUAUGAAAGUGAUAAGGGCACUUAGGAGUAACAUUAUAAGCCGAAUUAUCCCCUUCUUGGUUAUCUCCUGAAGUGAUUUUUGAACCCAUUCAAUGGGAUGAUGUUGGCUUGUUUGCUUGUAUGACAUGAAAAUGAGUGAAUUAAAUGAUUCAAGUUGUAUACUGGGGACGCAUUGCUAGCCCCAAGGAAAAGAAAUAAAAGAGCAAAGAGGAAAUGAAAAAAAAAAGAAGAAAAAAAAGAAGAAAAGAAGAAGGAAAAAAAGAAGAAAAGAAGAAGGAAAAAAAAAGAAAAAAGAAGAAACAAAAGAAGAAAAAAAGAAAAUAUUCUGAAAAAGAAAGAGAUUCAGAAACAGAAAACAAAACAAUUUGAGGAGUUUGAUUGUUCAAACCGCUUGAAUCGAGUUGAAGGAGAAUGAGCUUUGAAGGAUAAGCAACUAGGUUGGCAUCGUCCUUUGAAUUCAUAAGCCACGAUUCGACCUAUUCUUUACCACACCUUGUCCUAAGCCCCGUUACAACCCAUGCAAAGACCCUUUGAUUCAUGCAUUAAUUUGCAUUUUGUUGGUGGUGGAGAUUUGAUUCACAAGCAAGCCUAUGGUAAUGACAUACUAUGUAUUGAUUUGAGUGGAACCCAAAUUCUUAAACAUUUUAUGAGUGAUUAGAGUGACACGCGAAUUCUUAAACACUUUAUGAGUGAUUAGAGAGACACCCUUGUGAGUGUGUUGAGACUUGUUUCAUUUAAUUUUGAUAAAGUCAAUGGGAUACUUGUGUGUUGAAUGUUGUGCUACAAGUGAUUGUUUCUCAGUAUUGCUAUCUCUUCUUAAACUAUUAAGUUAUAUUAGUGUAGGAGAUAUACUUGACUGAAAUGAAAUGAAAUUUGACAAUUGCUACUUGGAUAAUUUGUGUAUUUGGAUUGAGAAAUGUUUGAGGGCAAGCAUGGUUUUGGUGUGCGGGAAUCUAUUAAAAUAUAUUUUAACCUUCUAUUCAUGCUUAUUUUGAGUUAUUGGAAAGGAUUUUGGUGCGUAGGUUAGUGAUGUUAAGAUACCCCAAGUUUCUGAAAGAUGGGAGUGUAAUGUAGGUGAUACUUUUUUACACAUCACAGUUGGAAGUUACAGGAUUCAGAGUCAGCUCUUGUGUUAUUUUGUUGGGUGGUUUUUUGUCUAAAGUUCAGAGAUAGCAUGUCAAUUAUAAUUAUACUUAUUGUUGUCUGUUGUCUUUUGUCUCUUCCUAAUAAUUGCUUCUCUAAAGGGGUCAAGAGAAGUCAUCACGUAUCAAAUAUUACUUUACUCUUGUUUUGUCAAUCUGGAGUCGUCAUGUAGUAGCAUUUUAUUCAUGUGAAGCAGUAAGGUGGAGUUAAUCUUAAUUUCUUAAAUUUGCUGCACAAAGAGGAACUGUAUUGGAUUACAUUAGAAUAUUGAAACCGUUAUGGUCUUCUUUAUCACCAGAACCGAGAUUGAUGUGCUUGGAUGAUAUGUUAAAAAUGUCUGUGCGAUAUUUGGGAAUGCAUAUGCUAAAAUCUUUCAAUUGACAGUCUAGAGACUUAAUGGGAAUGGCAGUCUGAGUGGGAAUGGCAUGUGUGAAGUCUUGGAGAACUUUGUAGUCUAUUUUUCCAGCAUAAAGACAAAAGUGUUGGAAAAUCAGCACUUUUGACUAUGUUGACGGGAACUCAUUCAGAAGCCCCAUCAUAUGAGUUCACCACACUAACUUGUUCACUACAAUGAUGCUAAAAUACAGCUCCUUGACGUUCCUGGAGUUAUAAAGGAGCAUCUGAAGGAAAGGGGCAUGGUACCAAGGUUAUCGCAGUCGCCAGAUCAGCACAUCUUGUGUUGAUGGUUCUGGAUGCUUCCAAAGUAAGUGGUAGUGUUGUCAGUUUCUAUUGGAUGAUUGAAAAAGUUCUGUUUGAAUGUUUGUAACAGUUUGCAUGUCACACCCAAUCACUAGCUUCCUUCGUUUAUAUGUUAGUACUUGUGUGUGUAUUGUCCAUACAUACUUUUACAUGCCAUGAUUAACAAGAAAGGAAAUGGGGGAUGGCCUGGACCAAGAUCUAAAGUAACUGCUAAUACUUCUGCUUUUUCCCUUCCAGACACACAAAAAGCACUUCUUUCGACGGUUUUCUCACGGGGAACUAAUAGAAUAGACUGGCUUGUGAGAGACUCCUUCUCAUGCUACUUCUUGAUAAUGGUACAGUCCGUUCAACCCCUUUGGGGAGAUCAAUAAUACAUUAUGUUCCAAACAGAAGAAAUAUACCUAAGAACAACAUUAGCGUUCAAUUUCAAUGCCAAUAUCUUAUGAUUACUGUCUGUUGAUGCCUUUCAAAGUUUCACUGUAAUUUAUGAUGUCAGAAAAAGUCUUUGACCCCAUUAGUUGUUUGUGUGGUUAUAUUAAUCUGAAUUCUUCUUUGUUCUGGCUCACUUACAUUGCCUCUGCUAAUGUUGCCUUGACAUUGAAGGAGAAAUUAUUUAAUAUUUGCUUGAAGUUAAGAAAAGAAUUUCUUAUAUUUGGUAUUGACAGUAAUUUGGUUAGUUUUGUCUGUUUCUGAUCUUCCAAAUUUCGUGAUUGGCAUGUUUUUUAGGUUCUGUGCCAAUUUACAUACACAUAAUUACUUUUAUGCGGUGCUUUUGGUAAGUAAUUUCUAAUAUGCUAUAUUUUGAUUAGUUAUGUAGCUUUAAUUCUAAUAUUUUCCGUGGCUCAAUGAUCAUGAAAUUUCUAGAGUGAAGGGCAUCGACAAAUCUUAACAAGGAAAUUGGAAGUUGUAUGUUGCGCUUAAAGAAAAGACCACCUUCGUUGCCUUUUGUUCUUUUGUCACUUUCUCUUGGUACUUGUUUAAAACACGAGUAAGGUUUGUAACCUUACCUAAUAAGAGUUUUGAGUUUGGACUCUUUGCGGUUAGAUCUACAAAAGUUAUAUUUAGGUAAUAUUGUCCUUAAAGACUUCGUAGGGAAUGGAACCAGUUGCUGAAUGGAAGGAGGGAACAGAACCUUUUCCUUUGUGAGAACAUUGUGUUGUGGAUGCUAGAAUGUUCCAGAAAGAAUAUCUUUUCCUCCUUCCUCCCAUACAUUGUAAAACUCUUAAAAGCAUGAGUCUUUUCUAUCUUUUUCACAUCAUAAUUUUUCGAUGUUUUCAUUCUUCUAGAUGCUUAUUAAUUAAAAUUACAUGUAAACUUAGCAAUCUUAUUUUGUAGAAUGAAUCUGCUUGUCUGGUAGAUAGUGUGCUCUUGCAUGCUUGGACUCAGGUCGAAGUUCCUCGCUUUUACAACCCUUUGACAACAGCAUUGUAACCAUGUGGUAAGACUUGAUGAAUACAGUUGCUGAAGGAGGGAACAAAACCUUCCAGUGAAAACAGUUGCUGAUAAACUUGCCAGGGAAUGAAAUAGUUGCUCAAUGAAGGAGGAGGCAAACCUUUGGGCUCCAGUCAAUAAGGAUUCAUUUUACACGGUGAGAACAUCAUAGCUUGCCAGGGAAUGAAAACAUUUGCUGAAUGAAGGAGGGAACACAAUGUUCCGGUGCCAAUCAACAAGGAUUCACUUUACACGAAUAUUGUUCAUUACUCAGUGCUGGAUGGAGUACCAGAAAUAUUGUUCACCACUACAGUUCGGGGAACUGUACGAGUCAUACGAGAAAUUUUGGAUGAGAUGUAGGCGGAUCAAUACAUAUGGCAGCCGUAUGACAUGGACUCGGAUGUCAUUAUGGCUUACGCCGAUGAAUUCAACCCCCAGUUGUGGAGGUCAUCCGUUCCGUUGAUAUUCUACAAAAUAGUUGAAAUGCAUCGUCCCGAACGAGUUGUUCGCCAAUUCGGGAUGAGGUAGAAUGUACUAGAAUCGACGGAUACCCGUGAUAUGAGCCUCCAUCAGAUUUCCCGUAAAAAUCACGCGGGCGCAGAUUGGUCUCUGCAACACAUACAAUACAUCACUAGAUGGCAAAGACGAUAUGACACGGUUGUACAUAGGCCACUCAUUUCUAAUAGAAGACAAAACGAGGUUAUUGGGAGUGGUACUACAACAUAACAAGAAAUUUCGUGUCGUCAUCUAAUGAUAGAUGUGUGGAAAGCGGGUACCAACCUGGAGAAGCACCUAUGUUGCAAGUUGUGGCAAAUGAGGUGAAUGCCCUUGAAACUUUAUGUCGAUCUAGACCACCAAAUAUCGAAAGAUAUAGUCAAUUGGUGGAUAGAUUUGAGCAUGGGUUACAUAUUAUCAAAGAGGCUAUAACCCAACAGCCACAACAAAUUGCUUCUCCAUCCGAUGAUGCUCCCACAACAUCCCACAGGCAAAGAAGAAGUUCUAGCCGAAUGUCAACUGGUUCAGUUGAACGUCGUGAUUUUGGGGUGGAUAUAGCUGGUCCUUCUACAGUAUAUCCACCUCAAGAUUAUUACGUACCUCAACCGCCUCAAGAUUAUUAUAUGCCUCAACCAUCUCAAGGUGAUUGGUUUCAAUCGACU